UGGGGAAUUUUGGACAAUGGGCGAAAGCCUGAUCCAGCAAUGCCGCGUGUGUGAAGAAGGCCUUCGGGUUGUAAAGCACUUUUGUCCGGAAAGAAAUCCUUGGCUCUAAUACAGUCGGGGGAUGACGGUACCGGAAGAAUAAGCACCGGCUAACUACGUGCCAGCAGCCGCGGUAAUACGUAGGGUGCAAGCGUUAAUCGGAAUUACUGGGCGUAAAGCGUGCGCAGGCGGUUUGCUAAGACCGAUGUGAAAUCCCCGGGCUCAAACCUGGGAAACUGCAUUGGUGACUGGCAGGCUAGAGUAUGGCAGAGGGGGGUAGAAUUCCACGUGUAGCAGUGAAAUGCGUAGAGAUGUGGAGGAAUACCGAUGGCGAAGGCAGCCCCCUGGGCCAAUACUGACGCUCAUGCACGAAAGCGUGGGGAGCAAACAGGAUUAGAUACCCUGGUAGUCCACGCCCUAAACGAUGUCAACUAGUUGUGGGGAUUCAUUCCUUAGUAACGUAGCUAACGCGUGAAGUUGACCGCCUGGGGAGUACGGUCGCAAGAUU
rnacentral:rRNA from 1 species